AAUCCAUAGGUUAAUGAGGCGAACCGGGGGAACUGAAACAUCUAAGUACCCCGAGGAAAAGAAAUCAACCGAGAUUCCCCCAGUAGCGGCGAGCGAACGGGGAGGAGCCCAGAGCCUGAAUCAGCAUGUGUGUUAGUGGAAGCGUCUGGAAAGGCGCGCGAUACAGGGUGACAGCCCCGUACACAAAAGCGCAUGUGCUGUGAGCUCGAUGAGUAGGGCGGGACACGUGGUAUCCUGUCUGAAUAUGGGGGGACCAUCCUCCAAGGCUAAAUACUCCUGACUGACCGAUAGUGAACCAGUACCGUGAGGGAAAGGCGAAAAGAACCCCGGCGAGGGGAGUGAAAAAGAACCUGAAACCGUGUACGUACAAGCAGUGGGAGCACAGGUUUACCUGUGUGACUGCGUACCUUUUGUAUAAUGGGUCAGCGACUUAUAUUCUGUAGCAAGGUUAACCGAAUAGGGGAGCCGGAGGGAAACCGAGUCUUAAUUGGGCGUUAAGUUGCAGGGUAUAGACCCGAAACCCGGUGAUCUAGCCAUGGGCAGGUUGAAGGUUGGGUAACACUAACUGGAGGACCGAACCGACUAAUGUUGAAAAAUUAGCGGAUGACCUGUGGCUGGGGGUGAAAGGCCAAUCAAACCGGGAGAUAGCUGGUUCUCCCCGAAAGCUAUUUAGGUAGCGCCUCGUGAAUUCAUCUCCGGGGGUAGAGCACUGUUUCGGCUAGGGGGCCAUCCCGGCUUACCAACCCGAUGCAAACUGCGAAUACCGGAGAAUGUUAUCACGGGAGACACACGGCGGGUGCUAACGUCCGUCGUGAAGAGGGAAACAACCCAGACCGCCAGCUAAGGUCCCAAAGUCAUGGUUAAGUGGGAAACGAUGUGGGAAGGCCCAGACAGCCAGGAUGUUGGCUUAGAAGCAGCCAUCAUUUAAAGAAAGCGUAAUAGCUCACUGGUCGAGUCGGCCUGCGCGGAAGAUGUAACGGGGCUAAACCAUGCACCGAAGCUGCGGCAGCGACACUGUGUGUUGUUGGGUAGGGGAGCGUUCUGUAAGCCUGUGAAGGUGGCCUGUGAGGGUUGCUGGAGGUAUCAGAAGUGCGAAUGCUGACAUAAGUAACGAUAAAGCGGGUGAAAAGCCCGCUCGCCGGAAGACCAAGGGUUCCUGUCCAACGUUAAUCGGGGCAGGGUGAGUCGACCCCUAAGGCGAGGCCGA
rnacentral:rRNA from 2 species